AUCUUUCGCCUUUUACUAAAGAUUUCCGUGCAGGAGAGUAUUCAUGAUUGUACUAACAUUUUUUGGAAGCUCUGAAAAGGGCAAUGAU
rfam:Onchocerca flexuosa genome assembly, scaffold: OFLC_contig0024930